UGAUAAACUAAAAAUGAUCUAUUGGUGUUAUUAAUUACAUGCAAAACAGAAACAAUGAUCUUUGGUUUAACCCAAAAUUUGGGGAAGUUUGAACUUGUAGAAUUUGGAUUAAGUGCACAUAACCAGUCAUGUUAUAGAGAAGCCAAUCCAAUCCUUCUUCACACAAUCCUUUUGGAGCAAAACAGAAAGCAAAAGGAAGGAGCUUAUGAACUAUCAACAUCCAAAAAAAAUAAAGAAAUAAAGAAGAAGAACAGAAAAAAGAAAUGUAAAAAACCUCUAACAGAGAUAUUCCCUAUAAAUCAUCUUAAUCACUCCAGCAGAGAAGCAUGAUAACACAUCUUUUAAUGAGGUAAAGUCUGCCUCUUCCUUCUCUGAGCAACCCACCAAAUCCUUUAUUACAAGAUAAUCUUUUCUUAGAAUCUGCA
rnacentral:misc_RNA from 1 species